rnacentral:lncRNA from 1 species
AUAUGCUGAGGGUGGCAUAAUUGGCCAAUUAGGAGGCGCGCCCGUCUCCGGAGGAUACGAGUAUCCACCGGGAGGCGAUGCGCCCGGUGGCUUACUUGAGCCACCGGGAGGCGAUGCGCUCGGUGGCUUAUGAGGCGUGUAUGGAGUCCCGGGAGGUGAUGCACCGGGAGGCGAUGCAGUAGGUGGCUUAUGAGGCGUGUAUGGAGUCCCGGGAGGCGAUGCAGUUGGUGGCUUAUGAGGCGUGUAUGGAGGUGAUGCACCGGGAGGCGAUGCUGUAGGCGGCGAGGCCUUCGGUGGAUGAGGAUAUUCGACAGGCGGUGGAGGAGGAGGUGGCGGCUGAUAGUGAUGAUGUUUUUUAGGAGGCGGAGGUGGUGGAGAAGAGUAAUGAUAAUGUGGAGUUGGCGAUGGUGGAGGAGGGCACGGUGGAGGCGGUGGCGGCGAGCUAAACACAAGCGGCGGUGGUGGCGGAGGCGACGAGUAAAGAUACUGAGGCACCACCGGUGGCGGAGGCGGUGGCGAAGAGUAUGGAUAAGCUAUGAGCUUCCUAUUAUAACUCGAUGCGCUACCAUAACUC